rnacentral:rRNA from 2 species
AGGUGCGAUCAUACCUGCACUAGAUCCCAUCAGAACUCUGCAGUUAUGCGUGCUUCGGCGAGAGUAGUACUAAGAUGGGUAACCUCCUGGGAAGUCCUCGUGUUGCACCUC